rnacentral:misc_RNA from 1 species
ACAAACUUGGUCAUUUAGAGGAAGUAAAAGUCGUAACAAGGUCUCCGUAGGUGAACCUGCGGAGGGAUCAUUACCGAGUGCCCUCGGCCCCAACCGGGCCAGGCCUCCCAUCCCGUGCCUGAACCCCUCUCCCCUUCCCUCCCGGGGGUGCGCCCGCAAGGCCGCCCCCGGAAGGUAGAGGGCCGCCGCCUCCUCCUCGGGCCCCAGGGCCCCUGGAGCCGGCGGGGAGCCCCCGAAAACCUCGAGAAAACAUGCAGUCCGAGCGGCCUAUGCCGAACCGUAAAUACAACCUGCAACAAUGGAUCUCUUGGCUCCGGCAUCGAUGAAGAACGCAGC